GAUGAACGCUGGCGGCGUGCCUAAUACAUGCAAGUCGAGCGAACAGACGAGGAGCUUGCUCCUCUGACGUUAGCGGCGGACGGGUGAGUAACACGUGGAUAACCUACCUAUAAGACUGGGAUAACUUCGGGAAACCGGAGCUAAUACCGGAUAAUAUAUUGAACCGCAUGGUUCAAUAGUGAAAGACGGUUUUGCUGUCACUUAUAGAUGGACCCGCGCCGCAUUAGCUAGUUGGUAAGGUAACGGCUUACCAAGGCAACGAUGCGUAGCCGACCUGAGAGGGUGAUCGGCCACACUGGAACUGAGACACGGUCCAGACUCCUACGGGAGGCAGCAGUAGGGAAUCUUCCGCAAUGGGCGAAAGCCUGACGGAGCAACGCCGCGUGAAUGAUGCAGGUCUUCGGAUCGUAAAACUCUGUUAUUAGGGAAGAACAAAUGUGUAAGUAACUAUGCACGUCUUGACGGUACCUAAUCAGAAAGCCACGGCUAACUACGUG
rnacentral:rRNA from 1 species